rnacentral:lncRNA from 1 species
AUAAUGGUAAAUACAAACAUCAGAUAAAGACUACAUUAACUUUAAAAGGUCCCAAUUUGUAGAACAAUACACAGAUACAUCAAUGGUAGGAAAACAAAACUGACAUAUAUUUCAAAACAAAAUCAUGUCACAUCAUAGCUACUGACAGAUAUAUAGUAUAACAUUGUCUCAGGCCCCGAGGAUGUUUUACACAGCAAAUAUUUGAUUAAAAAUCUCCUUUUACACACUUAAUAAACAGGUUGGAUAACUUUUACCUUUCACAACCAGACAAAAACAGCUCCGGGGCUACUCGUAACGUUUAAAGGAUUCGUUGCAACUGUGUUGGAAUUGAUGACAAUAGAAAAGUGUAGAAUUAUAGCCGAUUGGAAUUACUAUGAUAAUCUGGUAAAUAAUCGUUGACUUGACAUAAGUAAAUAUGUGAUUAUGUGAUUUAAUGUCCUCCAC